GGAGUAGUAGCUCAGUUGGUUAGAGCGCCUGCCUGUCACGCAGGAGGUCGCGAGUUCGAGUCUCGUCUAUUCCGCCA
rnacentral:tRNA from 1 species